rnacentral:rRNA from 1 species
GAUGAACGCUGGCGGCGUGCUUAACACAUGCAAGUCGAACGGAAAGGCCCAAGCUUGCUUGGGUACUCGAGUGGCGAACGGGUGAGUAACACGUGGGUGAUCUGCCCUGCACUUUGGGAUAAGCCUGGGAAACUGGGUCUAAUACCGGAUAGGACCACUUCUUGGAUGUUGUGGUGGAAAGUUUUUUCGGUGUGGGAUGAGCUCGCGGCCUAUCAGCUUGUUGGUGGGGUAAUGGCCUACCAAGGCGUCGACGGGUAGCCAGCCUGAGAGGGUGUACGGCCACAUUGGGACUGAGAUACGGCCCAGACUCCUACGGGAGGCAGCAGUGGGGAAUAUUGCACAAUGGGCGCAAGCCUGAUGCAGCGACGCCGCGUGGGGGAUGACGGCCUUCGGGUUGUAAACUCCUUUCGCUAGGGACGAAGCGUUUUGUGACGGUACCUGGAGAAGAAGCACCGGCUAACUACGUG